CAAUAGCGUAUAUUUAAGUUGCUGCAGUUAAAAAGCUCGUAGUUGGAUUUCGGGUGGGAAUGGCCGGUCCGCCGUUUCGGUGUGCACUUGCUACGCCCACCUUGCUGCCGGGGACGUGCUCUUGAGUUCACGCUCGGGACACGGAGUCGGCGAGGUUACUUUGAGUAAAUUAGAGUGUUCAAAGCAGGCCUACGCUCUGAAUACAUUAGCAUGGAAUAACACGAUAGGACUCUGGCCUAUCUUGUUGGUCUGUAGGACCGGAGUAAUGAUUAAGAGGGACAGUCGGGGGCAUUCGUAUUUCAUUGUCAGAGGUGAAAUUCUUGGAUUUGUUAAAGACAAACUACUGCGAAAGCAUUUGCCAAGGAUGUUUUCAUUGA
rnacentral:rRNA from 1 species